rnacentral:rRNA from 1 species
AGCGAACGCUGGCGGCGUGCCUAAUACAUGCAAGUCGAACGCGAAAGUCCUUCGGGAUGAGUAAAGUGGCGCACGGGUGAGUAAUGCAUGAGAACAUGCCCUUAGAUGGGGAAUAACGUUUGGAAACGAACGCUAAUACCGCAUAAUCUCGAGAGAGUAAAGGUGGCGCCGCAAGGGCUACCGUCUAAGGAUUGGCUCAUGUCCCAUUAGCUAGUUGGCGGGGUAAUGGCCCACCAAGGCAACGAUGGGUAUGUGGUCUGAGAGGAUGAUCACACACACUGGAACUGAGACACGGUCCAGACUCCUACGGGAGGCAGCAGUAGGGAAUAUUGCACAAUGGGGGAAACCCUGAUGCAGCAACGCCGCGUGAGUGAAGAAGGCCCUUGGGUCGUAAAGCUCUUUAGCGAGGGAAGAGGGUAGAUACGGUGAAUAAUCGUGUUUGCUGACGGUACCUCGAGAAUAAGCACCGGCUAAUUUCGUGCCAGCAGCCGCCGUAA